GUGUUCGCUUAGGCAGCACACACCCUAAACUUGAAACAAGGCAGAGGUGAUCAGUAUCCCCCCUGAGCGAUGAUGACGUGCACGUCAUGAGGCGGUCCAUGCUUUU